CAGCCGCCGCGGGAAUACGGAGGGUGCAAGCGUUAAUCGGAAUUACUGGGCGUAAAGCGCACGCAGGCGGUCUGACAAGUCAGAUGUGAAAUCCCCGGGCUUAACCUGGGAACUGCAUUUGAAACUGUCAGGCUGGAGUCUUGUAGAGGGGGGUGGAAUUCCAGGUGUAGCGGUGAAAUGCGUAGAGAUCUGGAGGAAUACCGGUGGCGAAGGCGGCCCCCUGGACAAAGACUGACGCUCAGGUGCGAAAGCGUGGGGAGCAAACAGGAUUAGAUACCCCCGUUGUCCCUGUCUCUUAUAC
rnacentral:rRNA from 1 species